rnacentral:rRNA from 1 species
CACGUAGGAGGCGAGCGUUGUCCGGAAUCAUUGGGCGUAAAGAGCGCGCAGGCGGCUUGGCAAGUCGGGUGUGAAAUCCCGGGGCUCAACCCCGGGACUGCAUUCGAUACUGUCAGGCUAGAGGUAGGUAGGGGAGAUCGGAAUUCCUGGUGUAGCGGUGAAAUGCGCAGAUAUCAGGAGGAACACCGGUGGCGAAGGCAGCUCGCUGGGACGUUACUGACGCUGAGACGCGAAAGCGUGGGGAGCAAACAGG